rnacentral:rRNA from 1 species
GCAAGAUUAAAACUCAAAGGAAUAGACGGGGACCCGCACAAGUGGUGGAGCAUGUGGUUUAAUUCGAAGAUACGCGAAGAACCUUACCUAGCCUUGACAUAUUUGAAAAUCUGACAGAGAUGUUGGAGUGCCUUCGGGAGUUCAUUUACAGGUGCUGCACGGCUGUCGUCAGCUCGUGUCGUGAGAUGUUGGGUUAAGUCCCGCAACGAGCGCAACCCUCGUCACUAGUUACUAACGAUUCGGUCGAGGACUCUAGUGAGACUGCCUUCGUAAGGAGGAGGAAGGUGAGGACGACGUCAAGUCAUCAUGGCCCUUACGGCUAGGGCAACACACGUGCUACAAUGGUUAGGACAAUGAGACGCAAUACCGCGAGGUGGAGCAAAUCUAUAAACCUAAUCUCAGUUCGGAUUGAAGUCUGCAACUCGACUUCAUGAAGCUGGAAUCACUAGUAAUCGUAGAUCAGCUAUGCUACGGUGAAUACGUUCCCGGGUCUUGUACUCACCGCCCGUCACACCAUGGGAGUUGAUUUCACCCGAAGCGGGGAAGCUAAACUGGCUACCCUCCACGGUGGAAUUAGCGACUGGGGUGAAGUCGUAACAAGGUA